GCUUGUGCAGGCAGGAAGCCGGCCUGGGCUGGAUCCAGGGCCUGGGCAGGGGCUUUCCUGCACACAGGGGACAAUUCCUUUGUCAGAGUGACUUCCAGACCAGCUUCCUGCUGGCGUACCUGGGGGAGACCUCAGUGGGACAAGCCCUGCCCAGAGGCCGUGUCACCGGGCCCCUCCUCACACACGCAGCCCUCAUGCCUCUCUCCCUUAGGGGACCGUUCCCUUGCCCUGUCCCCAGGCACUCACAGGGAGGCUCCUGCCGCUGAGCUGUUCAGGAAACUCCCACCUGAGCAAGCCUACCAGCAGGCCCUGGAGAGGGGCCAGGGACCAUUCCUGAGCCAUGACGGAGAUCUUUGUGGGGGGUUCGGUCCAGGGCAGGACUGAAUUUGUGGGGUGCAGGACUCCAGCUAAACCUUUCCCAGGGGUCCCAGCCUCUUCCUGUCCAGGUCUCCUUCCUUCCUCCUCUCCCAGACAUCUGCAGUUCCCCACCCCCGCCACCUCCAGCUCUCUCCCCUCGUGGCAUUGUGAGCGGGGCCCUGGGCUCGGUCUCUUUCUACAUUUGGUUUCUAGGUUCUUGUUGUCCUGAACAAGAAUUGAUCAAGGCCAUUGGAAGAGGCUGAGGUCAGAUCCAGACCAUCCUAUCAAACACCUGCUUGAGUUCUCUCCAGAAGAAAUGAAGCCAGCGCUCUGAUCCCAGGUGCAGAGCACAGGAAGUUUUUCUGCAGAUGUCCUGGAUCUCCAUGAUUGACAGGUCACACCUACUUUCCCAGCCAGCCUCCCACGCCCUAACCUCCUGCCUCAGCAUCUCCACUGGACUGAGCCUAAGACCGCUAAGACUAAGGCAAAGAUAAGACUAAGACUACGGAGUCCCGACCAGCGUUAAUGAUGUCACCCUGAUGCCCUUGCUACCAUUGGAUCAAUCUCACCUAAGCGACUAUAUUUGCAAUCUUAUUGGUUGAUCAUGAUUUUGACCCACGUUGUACCUGCCUCAUGAUUUUUCUCUAUGGAACUUCGAGAAUUGGACGUGUUGGCAACCCACUUGGGACUCCUCCUGUCUCUCAGGAGCUAUUCCUAUUUCCCCUUCCUUUUCUCCAAUAA